rnacentral:rRNA from 1 species
UACGAAGGGUGCAAGCGUUACUCGGAAUUACUGGGCGUAAAGCGCGUGUAGGCGGUUGCCCAAGUCGGGUGUGAAAGCCUUGAGCUCAACUCAAGAAAUGCACUCGGUACUGGGUGAUUAAAGGACCGGAGAGGAUAGUGGAAUUCCCAGUGUAGUGGUGAAAUACGUAGAGAUUGGGAAGAACACCAGUGGCGAAGGCGGCUAUCUGGACGGUUUCUGACGCUAAGACGCGAAAGCGUGGGGAGCAAACAGG